UACGGAGGGUGCGAGCGUUGUUCGGAAUUAUUGGGCGUAAAGCGCACGUAGGCGGCUCUUUAAGUCUCACUGUGAAAGCCUGCGGCUCAACCGCAGGAGGCCAGGGGAUACUGGGGGGCUGGAGAUAGGUAGAGGCGAGCGGAAUUCCGGGUGUAGCGGUGGAAUGCGUAGAGAUCCGGAAGAACACCAGAGGCGAAGGCGGCUCGCUGGACCUCAUCUGACGCUGAGGUGCGAAAGCGUGGGGAGCAAACAGG
rnacentral:rRNA from 1 species